AGAGUUUGAUCAUGGCUCAGGACGAACGCUGGCGGCGCGCCUAACACAUGCAAGUCGAACGAGAGAUGAGGAGCUUGCUCUUCAAAUCGAGUGGCGAACGGGUGAGUAACGCGUGAGGAACCUGCCUCAAAGAGGGGGACAACAGUUGGAAACGACUGCUAAUACCGCAUAAGCCCACAGCUCGGCAUCGAGCAGAGGGAAAAGGAGUGAUCCGCUUUGAGAUGGCCUCGCGUCCGAUUAGCUAGUUGGUGAGGUGACGGCCCACCAAGGCGACGAUCGGUAGCCGGACUGAGAGGUUGAACGGCCACAUUGGGACUGAGACACGGCCCAGACUCCUACGGGAGGCAGCAGUGGGGAAUAUUGCACAAUGGGGGAAACCCUGAUGCAGCGACGCCGCGUGGAGGAAGAAGGUCUUCGGAUUGUAAACUCCUGUUGUUGAGGAAGAUAAUGACGGUACUCAACAAGGAAGUGACGGCUAACUACGUGCCAGCAGCCGCGGUAAAACGUAGGUCACAAGCGUUGUCCGGAAUUACUGGGUGUAAAGGGAGCGCAGGCGGGAGAACAAGUUGGAAGUGAAAUCCAUGGGCUCAACCCAUGAACUGCUUUCAAAACUGUUUUUCUUGAGUAGUGCAGAGGUAGGCGGAAUUCCCGGUGUAGCGGUGGAAUGCGUAGAUAUCGGGAGGAACACCAGUGGCGAAGGCGGCCUACUGGGCACCAACUGACGCUGAGGCUCGAAAGUGUGGGUAGCAAACAGGAUUAGAUACCCUGGUAGUCCACACCGUAAACGAUGAUUACUAGGUGUUGGAGGAUUGACCCCUUCAGUGCCGCAGUUAACACAAUAAGUAAUCCACCUGGGGAGUACGACCGCAAGGUUGAAACUCAAAGGAAUUGACGGGGGCCCGCACAAGCAGUGGAGUAUGUGGUUUAAUUCGACGCAACGCGAAGAACCUUACCAAGUCUUGACAUCCCUUGACGAUACUGGAAACAGUAUUUCUCUUCGGAGCAAGGAGACAGGUGGUGCAUGGUUGUCGUCAGCUCGUGUCGUGAGAUGUUGGGUUAAGUCCCGCAACGAGCGCAACCCUUAUGGUCAGUUACUACGCAAGAGGACUCUGGCCAGACUGCCGUUGACAAAACGGAGGAAGGUGGGGAUGACGUCAAAUCAUCAUGCCCUUUAUGACUUGGGCUACACACGUACUACAAUGGCGUUAAACAAAGAGAAGCAAGACCGCGAGGUGGAGCAAAACUCAGAAACAACGUCCAGUUCGGACUGCAGGCUGCAACUCGCCUGCACGAAGUCGGAAUUGCUAGUAAUCGUGGAUCAGCAUGCCACGGUGAAUACGUUCCCGGGCCUUGUACACACCGCCCGUCACACCAUGAGAGCCGGGGGGACCCGAAGUCGGUAGUCUAACCGCAAGGAGGACGCCGCCGAAGGUAAAACUGGUGAUUGGGGUGAAGUCGUAACAAGGU
rnacentral:rRNA from 1 species